AGCUUGCUACUUGCUGACGACCGGCGCACGGGUGCGUAACGCGUAUACAAUCUGCCUUAUACAGAGGGAUAGCCUUUAGAAAUGAAGAUUAAUACCUCAUGGUCUAUUAAUAUAGCAUUAUAUAAAUAGUAAAGCUUCGGCGGUAUAAGAUGAGUAUGCGUCCUAUUAGUUAGUUGGUAAGGUAACGGCUUACCAAGACAACGAUAGGUAGGGGCCCUGAGAGGGGGAUCCCCCACACUGGUACUGAGACACGGACCAGACUCCUACGGGAGGCAGCAGUGAGGAAUAUUGGACAAUGGAGGUAACUCUGAUCCAGCCAUGCCGCGUGCAGGAAGACGGCCCUAUGGGUUGUAAACUGCUUUUAUAUAGGAAGAAACCUUUUCACGUGUGAGAAGCUGACGGUACUAUAAGAAUAAGGACCGGCUAACUCCGUGCCAGCAGCCGCGGUAAUACGGAGGGUCCGAGCGUUAUCCGGAAUCAUUGGGUUUAAAGGGUCCGUAGGCGG
rnacentral:rRNA from 1 species